AGGUAUGCAUCUUGAUUACUCUUCUGAUAAUUCCUACAUGUUAAAAGGAAGAUAACAGCUAGCAUUCUGUCACCAAGAAUUAGAUAUCGAAGUACUUGUGUGAUUUGCUUUGGUAAAUACUGAACUCAUUCUAAAUAAUGAUUACUUUUCAUAGUUUACAUGCUAACUUGUUUGUGAACUAGAUUCUUCGGAAAGCAUAUGAUUUGGAUAAUUGACGAAUCAAUGUUGAUUUAACCUUUUGUUUGUAGGGAGCCUAAUGAUAUAGGGACCCAGAAGAUAAUUCCUACUUGAUAAACUAACAUUUUAGGGGCUCAUGUUUGGUAAUGUCUUAAGAAAGUAGACAAAUGGGCAAUGUAGAGAAUUUCAGUAGCAAAAUAACUUUUCAGUUGCUGAUAUAACAAGUAAAAUGAUCUAGAAAGUCAGUUAUUGAAUAAUGAAGUGAGGAUCAUUACUUCUACUGAUAAGUGCUUCUGAUGGAUCAUUUCUUCUGCCAAAUUUUUAUGUUGAUUCCUUUGCUUAAAAAUAAAAUAUUUAAUACUGGAUUUCUGUUGUGAUCUUAGUCAUGGACACUCCAAGCACAGUACCAGCCCGUGUAAAUUCCAGCACAGACUUGGCUGAUCAACCAGUACCUGUUUCUCCUACUUCAACAGAUGGUUGGGGAGAAAUUGAAAAUGGAAUCCAUGAUGAGGGUGAUAAUGACAAAGAUGGUUGGGAUGAUGUUGAACCCCUUGAAGAGCCUAAGGUAGCUCCAUCUCUUGCAACCAUUCAAGCUGCUCAAAAACGACCAGUGUCUCAACCAGUUUCACAGCCAAAACCACAAGGUAAUGCAGGGAUACACAUGACUAUCAUUAAUUAGCUUUUCAUGUGGUGUUGUGUCUUUGUAGUUGCAUUUUACUGAUUUAAGUGGUUGUGGGAUAUCAAUUGAUUAUUUUAUUUGUUGUUCUCACUUAAGGUUACUUUUAUUAACAACCCCAUUAUUUAGUCUAUUGCUGUCAUGUCAUUGUGCUUGAAAUGUUUUUCUGGUUUGCAAUUUUUUCAUUUCCUCUUCAUACUUUUUUCUAUGGCUCUUGAGAUAUAUUUAUCAUGCAGAUGGGCCAUGAGUUCCUUGACUCUAAAGGGUAAACCAUCUGAACAAGCUUCCCUUGGUUCAGUAAAUUCUGAUGCAGCUGUAACUUCGACAGCCUCUAGUGCCAGUUCAGGUAUGCAUCUUGAUUACUCUUCUGAUAAUUCCUACAUGUUAAAAGGAAGAUAACAGCUAGCAUUCUGUCACCAAGAAUUAGAUAUCGAAGUACUUGUGUGAUUUGCUUUGGUAAAUACUGAACUCAUUCUAAAUAAUGAUUACUUUUCAUAGUUUACAUGCUAACUUGUUUGUGAACUAGAUUCUUCGGAAAGCAUAUGAUUUGGAUAAUUGACGAAUCAAUGUUGAUUUAACCUUUUGUUUGUAGGGAGCCUAAUGAUAUAGGGACCCAGAAGAUAAUUCCUACUUGAUAAACUAACAUUUUAGGGGCUCAUGUUUGGUAAUGUCUUAAGAAAGUAGACAAAUGGGCAAUGUAGAGAAUUUCAGUAGCAAAAUAACUUUUCAGUUGCUGAUAUAACAAGUAAAAUGAUCUAGAAAGUCAGUUAUUGAAUAAUGAAGUGAGGAUCAUUACUUCUACUGAUAAGUGCUUCUGAUGGAUCAUUUCUUCUGCCAAAUUUUUAUGUUGAUUCCUUUGCUUAAAAAUAAAAUAUUUAAUACUGGAUUUCUGUUGUGAUCUUAGUCAUGGACACUCCAAGCACAGUACCAGCCCGUGUAAAUUCCAGCACAGACUUGGCUGAUCAACCAGUACCUGUUUCUCCUACUUCAACAGAUGGUUGGGGAGAAAUUGAAAAUGGAAUCCAUGAUGAGGGUGAUAAUGACAAAGAUGGUUGGGAUGAUGUUGAACCCCUUGAAGAGCCUAAGGUAGCUCCAUCUCUUGCAACCAUUCAAGCUGCUCAA
rnacentral:lncRNA from 1 species